rnacentral:rRNA from 2 species
GGCGUAAGCGCGCGCAGGCGGUUUCUUAAGUCUGAUGUGAAAGCCCACGGCUCAACCGUGGAGGGUCAUUGGAAACUGGGGAACUUGAGUGCAGAAGAGAAAAGCGGAAUUCCACGUGUAGCGGUGAAAUGCGUAGAGAUGUGGAGGAACACCAGUGGCGAAGGCGGCUUUUUGGUCUGUAACUGACGCUGAGGCGCGAAAGCGUGGGGAGCAAACAGGAUUAGAUACCCUGGUAGUCCACGCCGUAAACGAUGAGUGCUAAGUGUUAGAGGGUUUCCGCCCUUUAGUGCUGCAGCUAACGCAUUAA